UCUUCCCCACCUGAUUUGUAACAUGCCAGAAGAUUUGGCUGAAAGAAGAGCCAAGAUCAGUAAGAGGAGACAGUAUAAGCUUGGGUUACAAGAGAUGACACCCUACACCUGACCCUAACUCAUGAGCAUUGCCAGUCAUUCAUGUGCUUGUCUCUUGACAUGCUGACACUGGAGGAACACAGAUUCUAAUAUUUCAAGACAGACACGACCUCAGACUAUCGAACCUAUUGGCAGGAAAGCUGUUUUUUUUCUGGGUUCACAAAAAGGAUAGAAAAAUGUGUUUUGAACUGUAUUCACCGACACAAAAAGGCUAACUAGCUAUUAAUAUCUUGACAUUAGUCUUGCGUUGCCAGACCUCCCUCCACAGCGCUGCCUAGGAGGGUCUGGCUAGUCCACACAGCAUUCCAGGAUGGUAAAAAAGCAUUUCAAAAAGGUUUAUUGGCAUUUCUUUAAACCAAUCACAAUUGCCUUGGGCGGAGCUAAGCACCGCACAGAUAAACGGAGCCUCUGCAGAAUAGCCUCAGGAAGGAAUUUGUUCUGGUGGAACAUGUGUACGUUCAAAAGUUGUUUUAGUUGUGCAACAGAAAACUCAGAUUGGACAGAUGGUCUAGCUAGCUGUCUGGAUUUACCCUGCAGAGAUCUGAGGACCAGGUAACCAGAGUCCUCAGAAAUCCACCGGAGUUUAGAAUGCCAUUAC